rnacentral:misc_RNA from 1 species
UUAAGUUCAGCGGGUAGUCCCGCCUGAUCUGAGGUCAGAUUGUCAUUGAAAUGAAAUUUCUUUUGUCUCUUUCACAAGACCAUUAGAAGCUGGUCAAAAACGCUUCACAACUACGGCGUAGACAAUUAUCACACCGAAAAGCUGAUCCGCAAAGGACGCUAGCUAAUGCAUUUGAGAGGAGCCAACGUAAAUAAAAACAU